CCAAAACUCACCAUCUAUGAGGAAGUUGAAUGCACGUGUUGAACAGCAUGAGUUGCAUGCACUUAAGUCGUUGAAUGGUGCCGGAUUUUAGUCAUCAAGUUCUUUGGUUUUCCCUGGUCAAGCCUGAUAACAACUAGAACUGAUUCUAUCGGUCCACGGCUGCAGAGCCGUCGGAUCUAAAAUACACGGUUGUCACACAAGAUCGUGCGCCCAGUGUAUCUAUCAUCGAGAUGACCCGCAUUUUGGUCGGUAUUGCUCAUUUUCCACGUCGAAUCAUUUAACCAAGUAUAGCUGGGGAAAUCACGCACUAAUGUGCUCCGACUAAGUUGCUGCAUUGGUGGCCAUUACUUUCUCCUGCAAGGGUCCAACGCGUGAGUCUAUUUGCCCGUAGAUGCGUGCGUCAGACAUGACAUCAGAGUCCGAUGUAGAUAGCAGCAGAUCAUCUCAAAAGAUGUCGUAUGAAAGCGGCCAUCCAGCCGAUCAUCUCCGCAGAAACCGGCAUCCAUCCGGGAUCCAAGAUUAGACCCAAUCAGACGGUGAUGAUCGCCCCUUCCACCUAAACCAAAAGCCUACCCGAGACCCUUUACCUAACCCAUCCUCACGACACGAAAGACAAAAUGAACCGGACCACAGAGUGGGGGGUAUUUUCGUCAACGAGAAAUUAGAAGACCCGAAUCAAGUCCCUCCCCUCCGCUCGCUGGGGAUUAACAUGAUUAGGGCCAAUGAAUCCCAUGACUUGGUAACUUGAAUGAAAGACGGAAGAUUAAAUUUCAAGUCUAAUUUAAAUGAAUUUCAAGUCUAAUUUAAAUGGGACCCCAAAUGAAAAGAAAUUGAACAAUACCAAGCCAA
rnacentral:lncRNA from 1 species